GACGAACGCUGGCGGCGUGCUUAACACAUGCAAGUCGAGCGGUAAGGCCCUUUCGGGGGUACACGAGCGGCGAACGGGUGAGUAACACGUGGGUGACCUGCCCUCAGCUCUGGGAUAAGCCUGGGAAACUGGGUCUAAUACCGGAUAUGACUCCAUGACGCAUGUGUGGGGUGGAAAGCCUUGUGCGGCUGGGGAUGGGCCCGCGGCCUAUCAGCUUGUUGGUGGGGUGAUGGCCUACCAAGGCGACGACGGGUAGCCGGCCUGAGAGGGCGACCGGCCACACUGGGACUGAGACACGGCCCAGACUCCUACGGGAGGCAGCAGUGGGGAAUCUUGCGCAAUGGGCGAAAGCCUGACGCAGCGACGCCGCGUGAGGGAUGACGGCCU
rnacentral:rRNA from 1 species